rnacentral:rRNA from 1 species
GACGAACGCUGGCGGCGUGCUUAACACAUGCAAGUCGAACGGAAAGGCCCUGCUUUUGUGGGGUGCUCGAGUGGCGAACGGGUGAGUAACACGUGAGUAACCUGCCCUUUACUUUGGGAUAACUUCAGGAAACUGGGGCUAAUACCGGAUAGGAGCUCCUGCUGCAUGGUGGGGGUUGGAAAGUUUCGGCGGUUGGGGAUGGACUCGCGGCUUAUCAGCUUGUUGGUGGGGUAGUGGCUUACCAAGGCUUUGACGGGUAGCCGGCCUGAGAGGGUGACCGGCCACAUUGGGACUGAGAUACGGCCCAGACGCCUACGGGAGGCAGAAGUGGGGAAUAUUGCACAAUGGGCGGAAGCGUGAUGCAGCAACGCCGCGUGCGGGAUGACGGCCUUCGGGUUGUAAACCGCUGUCGCCUGUGACGAAGCGUGAGUGACGGUAAUGGGUAAAGAAGCACCGGCUAACUACGUG